rnacentral:rRNA from 1 species
UACGGAGGGGGCUAGCGUUGUUCGGAAUUACUGGGCGUAAAGCGCGUGUAGGCGGUCCGGUAAGUCCGCUGUGAAAGUCGGGGGCUCAACCCUCGAAUGCCGGUGGAUACUGUCAGGCUAGAGUGCGGAAGAGGCGAGUGGAAUUCCUGGUGUAGCGGUGAAAUGCGCAGAUAUCAGGAGGAACACCAAUUGCGAAGGCAGCUCGCUGGGACGUUACUGACGCUGAGACGCGAAAGCGUGGGGAGCAAACAGG